AGCUUUGCACAGUGGCAGUAUCGUAGCCAAUGAGGUUUAUCCGAGGCACGAUUAUUGCUAAUUGAAAACAUUUUACAAUGCAUUGGACAGUUCCUUACAACAAAUAAUCUGGCUUUAAAUGUCAAUAAUGCUGAGGUUAAGAAGCC